GUCAGGUAGAGAAUACCAAGGCGCUUGAGAGAACUCGGGUGAAGGAACUAGGCAAAAUGGUGCCGUAACUUCGGGAGAAGGCACGCUGAUAUGUAGGUGAAGCCCCUGCGGGUGGAGCUGAAAUCAGUCGAAGAUACCAGCUGGCUGCAACUGUUUAUUAAAAACACAGCACUGUGCAAACACGAAAGUGGACGUAUACGGUGUGACGCCUGCCCGGUGCCGGAAGGU
rnacentral:rRNA from 1 species